ACAAAGGAGUAAUUAUUUUAAAAUAGAGUACAAUUCAGGUUACAAUGACGUGAUUAAGCGGCGUGUAAAUUACUAGCGAGGAAAUCCGAUGACAUACCAGGAGCGAAGAAUCCCGGCAAUCCAGCUACCGUAAAUGCCGGGCCUACUUUAUCGAGGCGACAAUAGCUGCCUGCGGAAUGAUACGGGCCACACGGUCCAGGAGCUCCCUUGUUAAAUUUUUACGGCUAGCAGUUUUUGCGACGAGUAACGUACGGAGACAAGCGAGGAAGCGGGUUUCGUGUCAUCCUUCAGGAUCGCCUGGAAUUUAUGAGGCU